UAGUCCACGCCCUAAACGAUGCUAACUCGAUGUUUGGGUCUUGCACUUGAGCAUCCAAGGGAAACCGUUAAGUUAGCCACCUGGGGAGUACGUCGGCAACGAUGAAACUCAAAGGAAUUGACGGGGGUCCGCACAAGCGGUGAGCAUGUGGUUUAAUUCGAUGAUACGCGAGGAACCUUACCAGGGCUUAAAUGUAGUGCGACAGGGAUGGAAACAUCCUUUCCUUCGGGCGCAUUACAAGGUGCUGCAUGGUUGUCGUCAGCUCGUGCCGCGAGGUGUCAGGUUAAGUCCUAUAACGAGCGCAACCCCUGUUGUUAGUUGCCAGCGAGUCAAGUCGGGAACUCUAACAAGACUGCCAGUGCAAACUGUGAGGAAGGUGGGGAUGACGUCAAAUCAUCACGGCCCUUACGUCCUGGGCUACACACGUGCUACAAUGGCCGGUACAGAGGGCAGCCACUACGCGAGUAGGAGCGAAUCCUUAAAACCGGUCUCAGUUCGGAUCGGAGUCUGCAACUCG
rnacentral:rRNA from 1 species